CCCGGGCUGCCAGGGGCUGAGCACCGCCCGCGCGCGCUCCUCGUUGCAGAGCCACCGGCUCGGCGCGCUCCCCAGCCAGCUGCCCGGCCCCUGGCGCCCGGCCCCGGCCGUGGACUCGCAGAGUCCGCGGGGGACAGCUGCUAAAGCUGGGUUCCCAGGUGGGCAGCUCUUCACCUGUUGCACAUUAUCCCUGAAUACGAGAUGUUUUCUAUUCCUGCACCGUCCCUCCGACGUGAGACACGACACCCAGAAAUCCUUCUGGACGUGGAGGGACAAACGGCUGCUAAAAUCGGAAAACCUGGCUGUUGAUCAGCACUACUUCCAGAGAAAGAUUUUGAUCAAAAAGGAGAAAAUCAUAAGCGAGAGCUUAACCUGGUCAGAAAUCAGGAGGAGCUGUGGGAAGAGCUAUCACACCUAUGUCAUUGUGAGAGCCCUAUGGGAAGAACUCUGCCUUUACAAAAGAGCUCUAUGAUUGUAACAGCCCCUAAACUCCCUCUUCCCCUCUGUAAAGUACUUCCUCCCUCUUUGUACAUGUGGCUCAUCAUGUCUGCAUGUACCAGACUGCAAUUCCUUCUUUUUCCUGAAUAAAUCGUUUUGGUGAUGGAA